GUUUUGGGGCUUGCCCUUUCAGAAUGCUACCUCCAGGUGAUGAAACAUGACCAGCUGACAGCCAACACCAACCUCUAGACAUGUGUGUGAGGCCAUAUUAGACCCCACCCCUCCACCCAGGCUCAGCUGAACUGCCAGAUAGAUGGCUUCGGCAGCAUGAACCAUCAGGCACAACCAGCAGAAGAACCACUAGGAGCUACGCAAUCACAAAGGUCACUUCUUCAGUCAAGUGCAGCAGAUGGGAUCUUGAAAGUGCCUACAAGUAGUCUAGAACACCUUGAAUCCGGCUGUGAAAAUGUAGGGUAAAUCUGUAGCUCUCAGUAGGUAAACACCUUAUUUAGGUCUGGAGGCAUUUUGCUAUGUUAUUGAGUCAUGGAAACCUAUUAAAAGAGCUCUAUGGGAAAUCCAGUCUAUAUUUUGAACAAAA